GGACGAACGCUGGCGGCGUGCUUAACACAUGCAAGUCGAGCGGUAAGGCCCUUUCGGGGGUACACGAGCGGCGAACGGGUGAGUAACACGUGGGUGACCUGCCCUUAGCUCUGGGAUAAGCCUGGGAAACUGGGUCUAAUACCGGAUAUGACUCCAUGACGCAUGUUGUGGGGUGGAAAGCCUUGUGCGGCUAGGGAUGGGCCCGCGGCCUAUCAGCUUGUUGGUGGGGUGAUGGCCUACCAAGGCGACGACGGGUAGCCGGCCUGAGAGGGCGACCGGCCACACUGGGACUGAGACACGGCCCAGACUCCUACGGGAGGCAGCAGUGGGGAAUCUUGCGCAAUGGGCGAAAGCCUGACGCAGCGACGCCGCGUGAGGGAUGACGGCCUGG
rnacentral:rRNA from 1 species